GGGACCGCCUGACUUUGGGCCAGCCCCACCGGCGAAGCCAGCAAGCCUUUGGCCGAACCCUGGGAAAAGUUUGCUGAAUUCGAAGGCGAUGAAAUGACAUGACACUGUAAUUGACAAAAAGGUAGUGACCUUCUCUUCCCCCCCAUAAUAAUAAUAAUAAUAAUAAUCCAAACAAACUCCAACAAAAUGGUGGGUUUUUUUUCUUACUAAUAACAUCACCAAACCAACGCCCAAGUUCACCUUCCAGACUCCAUAGCGCCAAGCUGAGCACCGUCAGGAUGCUCAGAAACUCGGGGCUCACUUGGAUACCUGGGACACACCGAAGCAGGCGGAGCCAGCCAGGGGUAAGAGUGAGUGCCCAGGGUCCGACCCGACCUUAGCCUUUCCAGCCACAUGUUCUGUUAUUCAAUCCAGUACUUUCAAGCCUCCCACCCUUCUUAGUUAAGGGAAGUGGUACCUCAAGUUCUGGGUGGGGCCGGGAUUGGCACCAGGGCCGACAAAGACAAACAAUUCCCUUGCCGUAACUGGGCGUCUGGGGACUGAAUUCCAAAGAUGAAGCCCUGGUUUCUCAUUCAUUGGAUGGACUUUGGAACCCCCCCUGCUCCCU
rnacentral:lncRNA from 1 species